GACGAACGCUGGCGGCGUGCCUAAUACAUGCAAGUCGAACGCAGUGGGGACGGGUGAGUAAAACGUGGGUAACCUCCCAUCAGACGGGAUAACACUUGGAAACAGGUGCUAAACCGAUACUGAUGGAUGGACCAGAGGUGCAUGAGCCAGUCGUUGAGGUAACGGCUCACCAAGGCCACGAUGCAUAGCCGGCCUGAGAGGGUGAUCGGCCACACUGGGACUGAGACACGGCCCAGACUCCUACGGGAGGCAGCAGUGGGGAAUCUUCGACAAUGGACGCAAGCCUGACCGAGCAACGCCGCGUGAAUGAAGAAGGUUUUCGGCUUGUAAAACUCUGUUGUUAGAGAAGCGUUAUCUGACCAAAAAGCCCCGGCUAACUACGUGCCAGCAGCCGCGGUAAUAC
rnacentral:rRNA from 1 species